rnacentral:rRNA from 1 species
UACGUAGGGUGCGAGCGUUAAUCGGAAUUAUUGGGCGUAAAGGGUGAGUAGGCGGUUUAGUAAGUUAAUAGUGAAAGCAUUGGGCUUAACCUGAUAAGUGCUAUUAAAACUGCUAGACUAGAGUUAGUUAGAGGAUUGUGGAAUUCCAAGUGUAGUAGUGAAAUGCGUAGAUAUUUGGAGGAACCUUAAUGGCGAAGGCAGCAAUCUGGGAUGAGACUGACGCUGAGUCACGAAAGCGUGGGGAGCAAACAGG